GAUGAAGAACGCAGCGAAAUGCGAUAAGUAGUGUGAAUUGCAGAAUUCAGUGAAUCAUCGAAUCUUUGAACGCACAUUGCGCCCCUUGGUAUUCCAUGGGGCAUGCCUGUUCGAGCGUCAUUUACACCCUCAAGCUCUGCUUGGUGUUGGGCGUCUGUCCCGCUGCUUUGCGCGGACUCGCCUCAAAGGUAUUGGCAGCGAUCAUGCCAGCUUCUCGCGCAGCACAUUGCGCUUCUUGAAGUUCUGGUGGAUCAGCGUCCAUUAAGCUUACCUUCAUGACUUGACCUCGGAUCAGGUAGGGAUACCCGCUGAACUUAAGCAUAUCAUAAGCGGAGGA
rnacentral:misc_RNA from 1 species